GGGAAAACAGGCUGAUAUCACUCAGUUUCAAUCCCAGCUUGAUGCAUUGGGCCUAAAAGUUAUCCAAGUGACUGCAGAUGGUAAUUGUUUCUUCAGUUUGCAGGGCGCUUGCAGAUCAGUUGGAAGGUAGUGAGAAGGAACAUGGAAAGUAUCGCAGCAUGGCGGUACAAUAUAUAAUGAAGAAUCGCGAAAUGUUUGAGCCCUUUAUUGAGGAUGAGAUCCCAUUUGAUGAAUACUGCCAAUCAAUGGAAAAGGAUGGCACAUGGGCUGGACAUAUGGAAUUGCAGGCAGCUUCUCUUGUUACACGUAGUAAUAUAUGCAUUCACCAGUACAUGUCACCUCGCUGGUACAUCCGGAAUUUUGAUCAAUGUGGAGCUCGUAUGGUUCAUUUAUCUUAUCAUGAUGAGGAACAUUACAACAGUGUGCGAUUAAAAGAAGACCCUUGCGAUGGGCCAGCCAGACCAAUUAUAAUUGAGGUUUCUUUUCUGAUUUUUUUCCUUUCAAUUAUGUCUUUUUAUACUAAUAUUUGUUUAUCCAUGGUUAAGUUUGAACUUGUAAUUCGUAGCAAUAGCCUGAUAACUUUCAGUUUGUGAAAGGCUGAUGCUGACCUUUCUGCAACAUCUCAUAAAGCAAAAGCUGCAGCCAGCAAGUCUAAAGAGGGAGCUGUUAAGGAUAUUACUGAUGCUGGAUCAAUCAUAUUGGUAAUGGCAGGAAGUGGUUGUCAAAAUGCUGAAAAAGUCGAACAGGUUUUAUUACAAGUAGAUGGUGAUGCUGAUGCUGCAAUAGAGUUUCUGGUAGCAGAACGAGAGGCAGAUGACUACUCAGCAGAAAAUGAUACCCUUCAAUGUCAUGUAGAUACUUCUCAUGGUACUGUCUGGGCAAUAAUUUAACACAAGUUGAAUAAUUUUAUGGCUGCUGCUGAUUUCCUUGUUUCCAUCUUUUUAUUGGCAUUUCAUCCAUUCAUUUAACAUCGGUCAGGAACUUCUGUGUGUGAUAGCCCCCAGAUUUCAAGUGUCCUUUUGUUUGUAGAUAUCAAUUUCUUGGAAAAGCUUUUCCUAAAAUGAUUUUAACAGUUGUGCAAAUUGGUGAAAGAUUUGGCUUUGGAUGUUUUAACAUAGAUUGAAGAAAGUUGGGGUUUCUUGAUGAUUUCCUAAUAAAAUGUUUUCUUGCUUGAACUAUUGAUUCUGUGCAGAGAUUUAGAAGAGUCAGCUUGAUAAUUUAUGUUCUAUUCCAGAUAUGUCUUGUCGUUUUAUUUUUACCCAUUUUACCCUGUGUUUUUGGCAUUAUUGUCAUUUCACAAUGUUCAGGUAGAAAAUGACUUCUUGUUGCUUUCAUCGAUGGUCUGACACUUGGUCCAUGGACUUCCCUGUUUCAUUGAAUAGCACCAUCUUCAUUGGUAUUAUCUGUUAGGGCAUGCACAUGCAUGUAUAUAAAAUGAGAUUCAAUGCAAGAAUGUGGAAGAAAAUUUUCAUUCUAUUUGUUAUCUUUUGCAUGCGCGCAUGUUAAGAAUACACAAUUUUCAACAUGUUUUGCAUCAUGAAUUUGUACAACAGAAAGAUAGUCAAGCCAAGUAAAUUUUUUAUCAUCUCAGUAUCAUAUUUGAAUUAGUUUUGCCUUACAUUUGGUUGGCAUCUCUCAGUUUUCCACUUUGGUCUUGCUUUUCAUGAUAAUAUUUGAGGUGAUUGCAUAAUAUGUCUUCUUAGUCUAAUUUUCAUUACUCCUAAAAAUGCCAAGGAGAUGGUGAAGAUGGAAACUGUGAGCAACAAAAGGAAGAGUCUCUAAAGGAGACCCACAAACACAGUCCAUCCAACAAUAGAAUCAAACAAACCCAUGACAAUAGUAGUUCCCAGGCAGAUGACAAGGUUGUUAUUUUUCUAUAAAGAAACCUUUGCUUGGCCAAUAUCUCCUUGAAAAAGAGUUGCUUUUAAUUUCAUGUUUUUCAUAUACUUCAUUCUCUAUUUUUAUCUUUGUGUAAUCGCUGAAGAUACCGAGAAAUAAGAGCUGCCCUUGUGGAUCUAAAAAAAAAUACAAGGCUUGUUGUGGAGCUGUCAAGGGGAGACCUGCUGCAAAGUUUAUAGUGUAUGCUUCUUGAACUCCUUAUCCUCUUUCCAGGAUUCUGUUUAAGCUAUAGUCUUUUAGUUUUGAAGUUCCAUCUGGUUCGGUGUUUAGGGUUCACUUGCUUUCAUAGGUGAGGACAACAUUUUUUUCAUUUUUUGCAAAGGAGGGGGAGGGGAAACUCAAAUUUGGGCCUUUACGCAAGUUGAAAGGUGCAUCAACCAUUAGUCUAAGGCUUUGAGUUGCAUAUUUUUAGAUAUAGAAAAUGAGAAGGAAGUCUUCUUAAAAAAGUUCUGUUGGCCAUAAUGUUAUCAAAGCUCAAAAGUAGUUUUCAAAGUAACCAAAAUAUUGACUCAAGAAAAAGUAGGAAAGGAAGGAAGCAAGGCAAUAAAGGAGGUCCUGCUGAAUCUGAGUCAAACUGUGGACCUGAUGGUGGGUUGCCUGAUGUGGGUGCUCUUUGUAUAUGAACUUGACUUUGAUGCCUCCUGAUGAUUUCACCCCACUUCAUGGAGUCAGUCGGGAGGAUUUAUGCUGUCCUCUUUGAUUUAUCAUGAGUUAGGCAAGCCCCUUAACCCUAAACAUCCCCAUCCAGGAGGUGAAACAAAGGGGAGGGGUUUUACUGCCGUGACAGGCUACAUGGAAGAGUUGCUUAAUGAUGGCUGCUCAUAUUUCAUGUAGGUGCAUUCCUUUUUGGCAAAACUCAUUGUAUGGUGUAAAAGGGCAACAAAGAAAAGGGUAAUGUACGUUACAAUUUUUGUUCUUUUGACAUCUUGAAGACAUUGAUGAAAUUCCAUACUGCAAACACUUCAUUCUGGAAGAGAGAACUUUCAGGCAAAGUGUUGUGCUAGCCAAAUUACGUUAGUUAUAUGAAAAAUCUGUCACAGGAUGAGCAUGUAUAAAUUUGCUUGGGAAAUUUGCUAUGGAAUUUGGGAAUUUGGUCCUAUUGUAAUGCAUAAGUUGGAAAGCAAAAUUGUGGGUUUAAAUCUUUAGGUUAAAGCAAUCUGAUCGGAUGAUCCAUGGAGGAAUUACAACAUUGAAAAUGGGUGUAUUCUAGUAAUAGUGGAUGUUGAGGUUAAUCAACUCUACAAUCGAACCUAACCUUUAUGUGGGGAAAGUUUGAACUAGAAUUAAACUGCAGCGUGUGGAUUAAGGUUU
rnacentral:misc_RNA from 1 species